rnacentral:rRNA from 1 species
UGGGGAAUUUUGGACAAUGGGCGAAAGCCUGAUGCAGCAACGCCGCGUGAGUGAUGAAGGCCUUCGGGUUGUAAAGCUCUGUCUUUUGGGACGAUAAUGACGGUACCAAAGGAGGAAGCCACGGCUAACUACGUGCCAGCAGCCGCGGUAAUACGUAGGUGGCAAGCGUUGUCCGGAAUUAUUGGGCGUAAAGAGCGCGUAGGCGGGAUAGUCAGUCUGUUGUAAAAGUGCGGGGCUCAACCCCGUGAUCGCAAUGGAAACAGCUAUUCUUGAGUGCAGGAGAGGAAAGUGGAAUUCCCAGUGUAGCGGUGAAAUGCGUAGAUAUUGGGAGGAACACCAGUGGCGAAGGCGACUUUCUGGACUGUGUCUGACGCUGAGGCGCGAAAGCCAGGGGAGCGGAACGGGAUUAGAUACCCCGGUAGGUCCUGGCCGUAAACGAUGGGUACUAGGUGUGGGGGGUAUCGACCCCUUCCGUGCCGGAGUUAACGCAAUAAGUACCCCGCCUGGGGGAGUACGGUCGCAAGACUGAAACUCAAAUGAAUUGACGGGGUCAU